rnacentral:lncRNA from 1 species
UUUAUGCAAAAUAAUAAAAUAAUAAGUUUAAACAUUUUUAAACAUGCUUGAAAGUUGGAUAUUGUGAAACAGCACAAAAUUCUAGCAUUUACCAUAUUUUUCAUGUUUUAUUUUGGAUGCACAUUAAUUUAAUUAUUAGCGUUUUUAAAACAGGGUAUUUCUGAAAUAUGCAAUGCACGGGAAAAAUGCUAAUCAAAUGGAACACAUAAAAUAACAUAUAUGGGACGGUUUUAGCGUUCUGCAGCGGCCCAGUUUGUGGACCAGGCCCCAAGUGGCCGAGUGUGUAUGCAAUUACUAAAUAGAAACAAGCAAAAAAUUGGGGCAACAGGGACUUGAUCCCAGUACCUCCAACUUAAGAGUCGGAUGCGCCAACCAAUUCGGAUAUAUAGUGCCAACAUUAUAUGACGAAAUAGAUCUAACAUAAAAAAUAUGAAGUUCAAGUACGAUGCUCACAUCGGGGAAACAAAGGCCAACGGAGGGAUUGCAGCGCGGCGACGGAAGUCCACGGGGUCGGGGACGGGCGCCAGCGCUGGAUCUGGGGGUGUCCGCUCCAUUCCUGGCUGCUGAACAGGUCAAGGUUGACCAUGGCAAUGGCGGCAGAGCUCCAUCAGCUCACCAUGGCGAGCUCCUGCUCGAAGCAGAGGCCAAAGUAGGGGCUGCGAGCACCUCUCUGGGCGCAACCGCGCCAUGACAGGAGGAUGGCGUGACACGUAGGCGAGGGGCAUCCAACGGUGCGGCUACGACGGGGAUGUAGAACAGGCGAGGGACCUCCCGCCAUGGCGGCUUCGUGGCAACUAAUAGCUGCCAUGGCUAUGGCGGGCAUCUCUUGAAGAAAAAGAGAGAGACACCGGGGUGAGGGAGAGAGAGGGAAGGCAGGAGGAGAGGGAAGGAAGCACAAGAGCUGCGGGAUCCUAGCCUAGAGCUCCGAUGAGCAUUGAAGGGAGGCGGUAUUCAGUCGCUAGCAGGUUGAGGAGGCUCGGGGCGAGCAGCUGGAGCAGGAGGGAUCUCGAGGCUGGGGAAGCCUCGGGAGGAGCGGCUCCCAGGCGAUGUGGGCU